AAGUCGUAACAAGGUUUCCGUAGGUGAACCUGCGGAAGGAUCAUUACCGAGUGAGGGCCCUCUGGGUCCAACCUCCCACCCGUGUUUAUUUUACCUUGUUGCUUCGGCGGGCCCGCCGUAUGGCCGCCGGGGGACUCUGUCCCCGGGCCCGCGCCCGCCGAAGACACCUAGAACUCUGCCUGAAGAUUGAAGUCUGAGUGAAAAUAUAAAUUAUUUAAAACUUUCAACAACGGAUCUCUUGGUUCCGGCAUCGAUGAAGAACGCAGCGAAAUGCGAUACGUAAUGUGAAUUGCAGAAUUCAGUGAAUCAUCGAGUCUUUGAACGCACAUUGCGCCCUCUGGUAUUCCGGAGGGCAUGCCUGUCCGAGCGUCAUUGCUGCCCUCAAGCCCGGCUUGUGUGUUGGGCCCCGUCCCCCGAUCCCGGGGGACGGGCCCGAAAGGCAGCGGCGGCACCGAGUCCGGUCCUCGAGCGUAUGGGGCUUUGUCACCCGCUCUGUAGGCCCGGCCGGCGCCUGCCGAUCAACCAAACUUUUUUCCAGGUUGACCUCGGAUCAGGUAGGGAUACCCGCUGAACUUAA
rnacentral:rRNA from 1 species